UACGUAGGGGGCUAGCGUUGUCCGGAAUCAUUGGGCGUAAAGAGCGUGUAGGCGGUCCGGUAAGUCCGCUGUGAAAGUCGGGGGCUCAACCCUCGAAUGCCGGUGGAUACUGUCGGGCUAGAGUGCGGAAGAGGCGAGUGGAAUUCCUGGUGUAGAGGUGAAAUUCGUAGAUAUUGGGAAGAACACCGGUGGCGAAGGCGGCUCUCUGGACCGAUACUGACGCUGAGGCGCGAAAGCGUGGGGAGCGAACAGG
rnacentral:rRNA from 1 species